AUAGCAUCCAAAAUAAAAGCUGAUAAGAAAAGACGGAAAAUUAAAAUGAACAAUCAAAAAUUUACUGCACUUGGGACUGAGUAGCAACGUCCAAAUAUGGCUUUUCCUUGCCAUAGGGUUAGGAAGAAGGUACACAAAAUGAAAUGGAUGAUGUCUCCAUGGUUCCUAGAAGAAAUCUGAUGUCCUUCUUCACCUGUCCUACAGGAUAUGUUGCUGAAAGGUGUGGCCAGUGAAUAUCCUUUCUGCAAGACUGCAGUGGAGCUUGAGCUGGAAAAAUGCUGUUGUUUUUUUGUACCUCCAUCCAGAAGACACACUUGUUCUGCCCAAUUAAACCAAAUACUAGCAAGCCUGUGACUCUUAACAUAGAUUACACAGAAUUCAUAAGCAAGUGAGCUGUGUUCACUGUCAUCUUGUGGAUAAAACCUUUUCAGAUAUCCUCCUUCCUUCCAGACUGCAGUUCUAUAUGCUUGGUCUGUACAAAAUGUUUGUGGAAGGGAAGCAUAGGUAAAAAACCUUUUCAGAUACUUCCAAGAGAUGGAGAAUUAUUCCUUAUCCUUCUCUCCCUGUCUCUGUGUACUCAGCUGGGUAUGAAGUUCUCAUUUUUCAUCACAUUCUACAGACUCUCCUGGAACCUAAUGCUAAGCAGAUGCUGCUUCUCUAGAGACGAUCAUUAAAAUUAAUUGUUCAUAAAUUAGGCAGCAAAUAAAAUUUGCUGUCAGUACUUACCUGAAACAGAAGGGUUUGUUUUUUUUAACCAGAACAAAACUAUGUUUCGGAGUAGACAUUGUUGGCUGCAUUCCAGUGCAUUGAAAACUAUGGCUGUGUCCAAGGAAGUUUGUUGUGGCCCAGGAUUCCUAUUUGUCCUCUGUUUUGGUCUGUUUGUUUUCCAGAAAUGACUGACAGUAUUUUUGCAUAUUUUGAGCACAGAUGUAUUCCCAGACUUUCUCUGGCUAUAUGGAUUGUUUGCAACUGUUUCUUUAACUUGAAUGGAGCAACACAAAAAUCCAGUGAAGAAGAUACUGGAACAUACGUAUAAAUUGAAAUCAGACUUGAUUAAAGACAAAUAUGUUGUGAAAAGGAAACGUAAAUCAUUUUUGUGCUGCAUAGCUGGCAAUCAGAAAAGGAAGAUGGAGUUUCUUAUCCUUAUUUCUUCAGCCUUUGACAGCUGGGCAGAAAAGCUGAGUCAUAUUAACUCACUGUUGGCAGAAGAGCAAAUUGCAGCACAAAAUCUGAGAGCUGAGAUGACAUCUAUGGAACUACUGCUUCUGAGUCCCUGGUUCCGAUUGGUACUGGUUUGUGCUGUCCUCCCUUCCACCAACUCAGCUGGAGGCCAGAAGCAGGAGGUGGCACAAGCAAUGCCACAGUGA
rnacentral:lncRNA from 1 species